rnacentral:lncRNA from 1 species
CUUUCUUGUAAAAGGGAGGGUUGAAACUCACAGUAUGUAAGCAAGAAACUCCCUGGCACUUGCAUUUGCUGUCUGCGCUCCUAGGAACACAGUGCUGCCACUCACUUGAACAUUUUCUCCUCCUGUAACCUCAUGGAUGGACCUGGCUUUUUUUCCUACAACCAACUAGGGAUGUGCGGAGACUAUAUGGACACAUAUUCUAGAGAGGUGACUUCAGAAGUUGACAGAGGAAUAUUAAAUCGUGGAAACAUGACUUCUAGGAAAGAGGCCAUAUAUCCCGAUGUGAUGGAAAGGCUGGAGAAGUUGGAAAAAGAAUUUAGGUGAGUCAGGCAACCAGAAAAUAUCCUCAUUCUGGUGGUCCAGAGUUAUGGACCCCUGCAAUUCUACCAUUGUCCUUCAUGUUCCCAGCUUCUAUGGCAGGGGGUGUUAGGACAAUAGUCACCUCUUUGGCUGGAAGGGAAACUCGAGGGCUCUUUCCAGAAAUAAAAGCAGAUCCAUGUGGACUGUUACCUACCCUAAGACCAUAGCUUGUUGAGGCUGGCAGUACCACUGAGAAAAAUACAACACAGGUAGUUUCUGGCCUAGUGCCAUCCCCUGCAUGGCCCAGCUUUGGCAUGCAUGGGCUGGGACACAGACAUGCUUAACCCUAAAAGGAAGGAAAGCAAACAAGCAAGCAAGAAAAGGUUUCCUUUGACAGUACAGUUUUGGGCAUAAGUUUUCAUGGUGCCCAUAUGUGUGCCAGGUUUCUUCUUUCAAAAGAGCACUGUAAGAUUCCCCCAACUUCCCACCAUGCCUUCAGUAGCAGAAGCUAGGGACCCGUAGGCCAAGGCAAGCUCUAGCAUUGCUGACAGCUACUUGGGAAUAUUUCUGGCCAGGUUUGUGCAGGGGUGUCCGGGAACCAUAUACUUGGUGUUCAUGUUCAUGUAGCAAUGUACACACAGGAACAAACACACUUCCUCCACAGCCUUUGGCACUGGAGCCAGGGAAGGCACAGCCCUUCCUCGUAGCUCUGCUUUGUGGGACAGAAACCCUCUAUUGGGAACCCAGAGCCAGCUUACAGAAGCUGUUUAAUCUGCAUCAUAUAGCAUACAGCUUUUACAUUUUGAGAGUAUUUUAUUUGCAGUGCUAGCUCUGCCCUGUCCUUAUACUCAGAAAAUCACAAACCACCUACCUGGCAAAACACAAUCUUUAGAAAUUUUGGUCCAUAGGUUUUUUUAAUUUCUUUUUUCAUAUUUUUUUUUUUUUAAAUCAGCUAGAAGCUGAUCAGGAACCGGAGGGAGGAAUUUUAGUUUAUGCAUUUCAUAGGUCUUUAAUGAAUAUUUUCUUUCUUACUGACUGUAAUGUGUCAUAAUUUCUUUCUUCCCCAAUGGACUGAUGGGCAGUGAGAAGAGAGUUUGGUAUGACAAUGUUGAGGUUUGACUACAAUUUCUGGAGAACUGCAACAGGUACCAUGAUUCUUUAUUUUAAGAAUACAUAUGAGGGAGAAAUCAUGUGUUUCUGCAACUGUCAUGAAAACAUACUCAACCUUGGCUAUCAGAACUGUUCUGCAGGGUAGUCCAAACUUUCAUUCUUCUAUUUGGUUCCAUUUUCAUAGAUAGGCUUGAGAUCCAAGACAGAUUUGUCUUGGAGUGCAGCUCAAGGUACAGGGUACAUUACAGGAAAUCAAGUCAGAGAGGAGUCAGAGAGGGAAAUUCAGGGAGUCAGAGAGGGAAAUUGACCGGUGGAAGCAUACUCUACCCACCCUGAGGCAGACUCAUGAGCCAGCCACCACACAAGAAACAAAGGCUCCCCUAUCCCACCAGGCAGCCACUACACAAUAGACAAAGGUUCCCCCAUCCCACCAGGCAGUAGGAGGGGGUCCUAAGACAAGGGGGGAAGGUUUCUGCUCAGGUGGUAGGUGAGUCCUCUCCCUGCCCACCUCACCUUCCUGACUAGCCUUAUGUAACAGGUAUGAGGCUCUAGAACUUGACAGUCAAAACAGUGAUGUAGACGAAAGCCCAUCCCGGUUGGAAGGGGUGCCUAAGGCAAGGCAAUCUACCCCUCACAUCACUACAUCUUCUAUCAAGA